AAAUGAAUAGACGGGGGCCCGCACAAGCGGUGGAGCAUGUGCUUUAAUUCGAUGCAACGCGAAGAACCUUACCUAGGCUUGACAUGGGAGUGAAAUCUUGUAGAAAUAUGAGACCUUCCGCAAGGAACACUCUACACAGGUGCUGCAUGGUUGUCGUCAGCUCGUGUCGUGAGAUGUUGGGUUAAGUCCCGCAACGAGCGCAACCCUCGCCCUUAGUUGCUAACAGGUUAUGCUGAGAACUCUAAGGGGACUGCCUAGUUUAACUAGGAGGAAGGUGGGGAUGACGUCAAAUCCUCAUGGCCCUUACGCCUAGGGCUAGACACGUGCUACAAUGGUCGGUACAACGGGAUGCGAAACAGUGAUGUCGAGCAAAUCCCAAAAAACCGAUCUCAGUUCGGAUUGGAGUCUGCAAUUCGACUCCAUGAAGCUGGAAUCGCUAGUAAUCGCGGAUCAGCAUGCCGCGGUGAAUACGUUCCCGGGCCUUGUACACACCGCCCGU
rnacentral:rRNA from 1 species